UCCCGUAGAUCAGCUUUAUAAACUACUUGUGUUUAGGAAUCCCUACUUUGUAAGCAGCUAUACCCGGAAGAAAUCCUCUUACCAUUGAUAGACAGUAGUGUUGAGAUGAUUAAAGGAGGCAAAAAAUCAUCCGUGCUAACACUUGCUGAAAAAUGCAAGAAUAUAUUGGCAUCUAAUUGGCAAGGUUACCUUAAUACUGUCAAGGCUGAUGUUAAAGGAAGCAAAGAGGUAAUAUACACUUCAAAAGUCGGCUAUUUAGUCAAGAGAGGCAAGCCCUACAUCUGGCUACCUGAAAAUGAUAUGCACAAUGUGAACACAUUGAUAGAUGAUCGUGGUUCUUUUGCUGUGACCAGUCCCUUCCCAGGACCACUGGCAAAUUGUCUCAAGUCAGUCAACAAACUACCAGAUCGGGUUGCUUUCGUGGGUGAAGUUCUGCCUCUUAAAGAUGAAAAGGCUAGGUUGCCUGAAGAGAGCCUCAAGGAAGUCAUAUCAUCUGAAAGGAGCAUGACAGAUAAGUUCUGUUACUCCGUUUUGGGUAUACUGAGUUCAUCAAGCGUUGGUGCUACAUGCCGAGCUGACAAUCUCCAGGAAUUACUUGAUUCAGACGAAAGAUAUAAUGUCCUCAAGUUCAGCCCAAGUUCGUGCAUGUAUAUUGAUAACAAUGGAGGGGCUCAUGAAGUAGAUCUAAAGGAAGUCCAAGCAACAAAACUUGAUCCUCUUUCAUCACAUACCGUGAGCCUGAUUGAUGGAAUUAAUCAAAGUGAGGCGAGGCGUAGAGCUCUAAUUCUCUUCUUCAUCACGCACUUGAAUAAGAACACAAAGGUGAUUUCUGGUAGUCACUGAUAGCUCGGGUAAAAUGUAUUUGUCUUCUCUGAGUUCUCAUGCCCAAUAUCUGGACGCAUAUCUUCUUUCUAUAGAUCGGAAAGGACUUGAUGUACUGGGAAAAGUUUUAGGUCCAAUAAGGAGCGAUGGUUCUCGUGAAUAUCAGUGGAGGAAGUUCAGAAUUGAAUUCAUAGAAGAGGCUCACACAGUUGAAACAUUCUGCAGUCAGCUUGUUGAAAUGGAGGAGGAAUCACUUAAGAAUAUCUCCAACUUUAGUGGUAUAUAAA